AGUGAACGCUGGCGGUAGGCCUAACACAUGCAAGUCGAACGGCAGCACAGUAAGAGCUUGCUCUUACGGGUGGCGAGUGGCGGACGGGUGAGGAAUACAUCGGAAUCUACUUUUUCGUGGGGGAUAACGUAGGGAAACUUACGCUAAUACCGCAUACGACCUACGGGUGAAAGCAGGGGAUCUUCGGACCUUGCGCGAUUGAAUGAGCCGAUGUCGGAUUAGCUAGUUGGCGGGGUAAAGGCCCACCAAGGCGACGAUCCGUAGCUGGUCUGAGAGGAUGAGCAGCCAGACGGGAGCGAGGACGCGGCGGGGACGCGGGGGGGAGGGAGCAGAGUAGAAUACUGGACAAUCGGAGAAAGCGUGAUCCCGCCAUACCGGGUGGGUGAAGAAGUCCUUAGGGUUGCAAAGGACGUGGCAAGGGAAAGAAACGACGCAGGCUAACACCCCGCUGUACGGACGGUACCCAAAGAAUAAGCACCGGCGAACUUCGUGCCAGCAGCCGCGGUAAGAGAGGAAAGACACACGUCUAAAC
rnacentral:rRNA from 1 species